GGCCAAGCAAAGGUUUUUGCACUGAUCCCAUCGGUUCAGGAGGAAGAGGUUUUUGUGGUUCUAGAGGGCUCAACUCUACUACAUGUUCUACAAACUAGAGUUCACUCAAUGCUAUAUUUCAUUGUUCCAGGUGAAAAACUAUAAUAAAGAGAUAAAAUAAUAUAAUGUAAAAUAUUAUAAUCCAUUUUCCAAACCUCUUGUCCUAGGGUAUAUACUGUAUAAUAUAAUAUAAUAUUAAUAUAAAUCAUAGUAAAGAUUAAUAAACAACUUUUCUUACUUUACUUCUCCUCCAAUAGUACAUUUCCAAGGUACUAUUCAUACUGAUUAUUUAUGUGUAUUUAUGUGUAUUUCCAUUGUUGCGUUUAGGUCAUAACCAGCCAGAGAUGGUGCAUGUCCGAGCGUAUAUAUUUACAGAUGAUACUGUGAUGUGUGUGGGUGUGUCUUAUCUGACAUACGUGGAGGAUAAUGCGCAGGAGCUGGCUGAAUACCUGGUUACCCAUAGCGACUGUCUCAGCACCACUGAGCACAGACAUCUGAUUGGUCGAUAUGUUUUGAAUGACAGCUCUGUGAGGGCAGAUCUGGAUCAAAGGGUCACACUCGCCCUAGCCAACCUACACACCCCUCACAAUCUUCUCGGACAGUCAUCACAAGGUUUGUUUGCCAUUUAUUGUAUGCAUGUGUGUAUGUUUGUGUGUGUGUGUGUGUGUGUGCAUGAUGGCAAAGGGAAGUGCAGCACCUGCUUCCGUGUAUUGUAUGGAUGUGUGUGCAUAAUCAGAUUUCACUGUUCCUGCUUCACAUCCAGAUGACACAAAUGUCCGGAGAUGAGCAGUGGAAUUAUAAUUGUCAAUUUCUAAUUGGAUUAGAGGUCACCGUGGUGAUCAUUAAUGAGGAUGUCCAAAGUAUACUGUCACUAAAGGAGUUUCACAAACAGACAAAGUGGAAUUAAUAUGUCAUUUAAAUGUAUUUUUGCUAUUUGCUAUGCAAUUUGCAAUCAAAAUGCAAUUUAUUUACAAAUGUGUGUGUGCACAUAGAAUCUCUCCUGCAUGUGUGUGCGCGUCUGGGCUUUGUGAGCGUCUCCGAGUUCCUUCUCUGUCAACCUGGCGCCCUGAUGACUAUCUGCUCAGCCAAUCAGGAUGGGGACACGCCCCUUCAGCUGGCCCAACAGACCAAUCAGCAUGCUCUGAUAAAACUCUUUAAGAACCCUCCUAAUCCAUUAUCCACGCCCCUGGCAGGCGUGUCACAGGUGUGGGCCGGUAAAUCCCACCUCCUCAGGUUUAGCCACGCCUCUGGGAUGCUGUCUCUGUCUGUGUGUGUAUCCGAGUCCUGUCCUACUACAAAGACCUUUCAGUCAUCCAUAUUACUGCUGCGAGAGUAUGUGAAAGAUUCUGCUCUACUAAACAAGAUCAAAGGUCUGAGAGUGGAUACAGACAGAAGAGCUGAAAGCAACACUCCGUUUUCAUUCUCAGGUUAAUGUUUCUCCUUUGAUUAUGAAAAUUACAUUCACAAGGCUGACUGUAUAUUAUCUAGCUCAAGUUCCUGAUGAAUGUAUGAUGGCAGCUCUAUAAACUUUCUUCUUUUUUCUCUCCCAUUUUUAUCCACCCCUUAUUAAGGAUCUCCAUACUCUCUGCUUCACAAUGUAAG
ensembl:lncRNA